GACGAACGCUGGCGGCGUGCCUAAUACAUGCAAGUCGAACGCAGUGGGGACGGGUGAGUAACACGUGGGUAACCUCCCAUCAGAGGGGAUAACACUUGGAAACAGGUGCUAAACCGCUACUGAUGGAUGUACCCGCGGUGCAUUAGCUAGUUGGUGAGGUAACGGCUCACCAAGGCCACGAGGCAUAGCCGAUCUGAGAGGGUGAUCGGCCACACUGGGACUGAGACACGGCCCAGACUACUACGGGAGGCAGCAGUGGGGAAUCUUGGGCAAUGGGCGAAAGUCUGAUCGAGCAACGCCGCGUGAGUGAAGAAGGUUUUCGGAUCGUAAAAUGCUUUCGUUAGGGAAGCGUUAUCUAACGAGAAAGCCCCGGCUAACUACGUGCCAGCAGCCGCGGUAAUAC
rnacentral:rRNA from 1 species